UAUUUUAAUUGACAUAGGCCAAGUC
rnacentral:tRNA from 1 species